rfam:Marinomonas sp. MWYL1, complete genome.
AUGUGGGGACGACCUCACCGCUCUAAUUAAUAAUGAGGACGACCUCA